ACCAAAUAAAGAUUUUAUGCUUAUAUAAUUUUGCUUAGUGUGUUUAAUAAAUAAAUAAAGUUGCUAUGCUAAUCUGUAUCUAAUAAAACUUAAGCAUGGAUAUGAUGAAUAGUUGCUCUGCCUAAUUUGCAAAUUUGAAGUUCUCUCUCAAGUUUAGAUAUAACUGUUAUAAUUUAAGGCUUGCUCUAGACCUAAACUUGUGGGAUGAAAACUUGAUCUGAAGUCUAAGUUGUUAACGGAUACGAUAUGGGAAGGUUGAGCUGCUGUUCAUCUGUUCCUAGAGAUGCUAGAAUUCUGGAGAAUUUUAUCUUUGAAAAAUCUUUAAAAUAACACAUGAUGAGUUCCUGUAUGAUGAGAGUUUAAAUUCCUACCAUAGCCAUAUAUACAUGCUUAUUAGACUUUGAGCCACACAUUUACUUUUUACUGCUUAUGAGCAUUGAGUGUGGUCAAGCUGUGUAGACCCUUAGGAGCUUGUCAUGUGGUUAAAUCAAGAUUCACUUACACAUUCACUCAUACAUGCUACUUCUACUCCGGAAGUACCAUCCACAUAUAUCCACUCAUUUCCAUCUCCAAAACCACCCAAACGUAUUCUACUCCUAAUCCAGGAGAGAAUAACCAAAAAUAUUUCUGUUUCCCCUUGUGAAAUAAAUGCUCAAGUUAUCUUGUUACUACCACUUGCUAUAUUAUCUCAAGAGAUGAAUGCUCUGAAAAAAAAAGAGAAAAAGAAAAUAAAAGAUACGAGGAAAUAAAAAGGAGCAAGUGCUCGGAACCUCGAAAGAAAAGAAAAAGAAGAGCAUCUCAUUCUCCUCAUAAAGUUUCAAAAGCAAGGAAGGUAUGUAUUCCCUCAAAGAGCAAAGUAGAAUUAGACUUCCACCACCAUUGUUAUCACCAUUAUCACCAUACACCAUUCAUUCGCCACACAUUCACAUCUUGAUUUGGCUUAUUGAUUUGUUUCUUUGGAUCCAUGGUUUGACUAUGCAAUAAAUGUCUUGUAAGUAUGUAUACUUUAUCUCCCACCUAUGAGCUUCAGAUAUUAAAGCCUUAUUAGAGUAGGGUGAGAGAGAAGACAAUGACACUAUGCUUCAUACCACAAAUACUACAUAUCUUGAGAGAAGGCAUAUACCAUCACUGCCUUGGUAAGGAUCCAAAAAAAAUACCACAAAAGAGAGACCUGAGAGAAUCAUACAAGGAAUUUCUGAGUUUUAUUUGAAAAUCUGCAAAAAUCCCAGAGCUAUAGCUGAUCAAGAAUAAGAGACAUGGCACUUGGCUAGACUGUUCUAUCUUUUAACCACUCAAGACAGAAGUGACGGUUACAAGUCCUAUGGUGUAGGUAAAGUAAGUAAGUUUUAAGUCUUAACAGUUUAUUCUAACUCAGAGAUGAGAUCUUGCUUAAAUGCGUGUGUACUUCUAAGAAAUGAAACCACUGCAGAAACUCUUGAGUUCAUCCUUGCUCAGGGACGAGCAAGAGUUAAGCUUGGGGGAGUUUGUUGACGGUCCUUAAGUAUCAAAUUUAAUUAUCAAAUAAACAAAGAAAAGGAUCCAAAUGAAAUCAACAUCUAGACUUAGGGUUUUAUCUGACAGAAUUCCACGAGUUUUGGUGUUUGUCUAUUUCUGCAGGGGGUUAUCAGGAAAUAAGGAAGAAAGGCCCACAUGUCGGGAUUACAUAGAGAUAUCGACCCACCUCGCAAUUUUCUACCAUCUAGAAGACUCCAGAAGCCACGGGAAGGAAGCGGAGCUCGAAAGGGGCCAGGCCCAGGGCGCCCGCCCUGAGGACCUGGGCGCCCGCCCCCCUCUGGACUCCGUUCCGGACUCUCUUCGCACACGACGUUCCACCGACCUAUUGGAUCCAGAAUAACAUAGUACCACCUCGCCUAUCGACCCAAAAACGCAUAGAAGGGGAGGACUAUAUAAGGAGACCCCCUCUGGCCCCUAGAGGAGACAAGAAAUUAUCAUAGAGAUUGAGGGGUGCCCUCGAAGGAAAACCUCUUCUCUAAAUAAUAUUUCUUUUUAGGCUUAGCAACCAAUGUAAGGUAGAAAUAGAUCUUCUAGUUUCUACUAGAUUGAGAGAGAUAGAGUGGAGGUGUGGAUCGGAGGAAGGCCGGCCUGUCGGUGUCUACUCCGAGUUGUACCUACGGGAUCAAUUCUCCUAACUCGAGUCUUGCUUCUAAGAUUCUUCAGUAAUUCGACUUCUAAUGCUAGUAAGUUCUUGUUUUAUUAUUCUUUGGUUUAUGAGUUUACUUUAAUCCUCUUCCGGUUGAGUAUUAGAGUAAUCACUUGUUAGCGUAAACGUGGUGUUUAGGCUAGGGUACUCAUAGAUAUCCCCUGACUAGCUGGACCGUGGUAGUAGCGAGGAACGUGACAUUUCCGAGUUACCUUUGCAGAUCACAUCUCGUUAGCAGGACGGGUAGGUUUAUAGGUGCGGGUCGAACAUCCUUUGUGUUGUCUAGAUUCCGUGAGCCUCCCCAAUAGAACAGUAGAUCAUCCUUACCAAGGUUAGAACGAGACUAAGGUUGCAGUCUUCUCUAUACAUCACUCACAUCGAGACACAUUCUUUGUAGCCUAAAGGGGUAGUAGCAAUAGAUUUGGUUAGUCAGAUGCACCCUUUCUCCCAGUGGUAAAAAUAUAAAUACGAUAACUCUGGAAAACCUCCCGGGUGAAAUGCUCACCGAUAUCCGUGCGCUUGCGGAUCAUUUCCUUAUUGUGUUACCAAAUAUCAACAGCUACAGCUGGAUGAGCAUUCUUAUCACUUACCAUAUCACAAGCCACAGCUCUUGUGGAGAAGAUGGCGUCCAAUCAAGGCUAGAAUGAAGAGAGAACCCAGACACUCAAGAGAGGUGGAGGUAUGCAUCAGCUCAAGGAGGUAGACAUGUUGUCUUCAAAGGUAGACCUGCUCAUGAAGAAGCUCGACGAUAGAGCUAGAGAUAAGAAGGAAGUUAUGCACAUCUACGACUCCCACAUGACUUGUGAGGAGUGUGGAGAUACUGGACACUCAGGCAAUCACUGUCCUGAGAUGCUUGAGGAUGUGAACUACAUCAUCAACAACAACUACUACUACUACAACCGUCCUCAACAAAAUCAAGGUUGGAAGCAACAGGGGCCUAACUACUCAGGUAAUUAUCAAGGUAACAAUUCUUACAACAAUAAUAAUAAUUUUCCACCUUUGAGAGAGUUAGUGUCUAAUAAUGGAAAGCUAAUGGAUAACCUAUCUAAGAAAUUGGCAUCUAAUGAUAAAAUGCUAGAAAAUAUAAAUAAUAGAAUGGAUAAUUCCUCUACUACCAUCAAGAAUCAAAUUCGCUUUAAUAAAAUGAUUGAAUCUCAGUUAAAUCAAAUAGCUGCUGCUGUUCCUGCUACUAACCCCGGUAUACCAUCACAACCGGAAGGAUUAGAAUCUGCAAAUCUUGUAGACAUGUUUGAUGCAGGUAAUAACUGGAGUAACCCCGUCACUGAAUUCACUACUGACCUUCUGCCGGUCAAGAAAGGCGAUCCCGGACGCCCCGUCAUCCUGAUUUCCAUCAGCAUGGUGGACGUCCCACAAGCACUCUGCGACUUUGGCUCCAGUGUCAACAUUAUACCCAGGGUACUCUAUGAAAAAUUCUUUACAUAUCCUUUAUUAGAAACAAACAUGUGUUUGCAGUUUGCAGAUCAGGCGAUAAGUUUUCCAAAAGGAAUAUUGAAGAACCUUUGUGUCCGAGUUGGUACCUUGUACGCCCCAGCAGACUUCGUAGUGGUAGAGACCGGUAAUGAUGAGAGGGCACCCAUCAUCUUAGGGAGGCCAUUCUUAAACACCACGGGAGCUAUCAUCUAUGCCAGUGCUGCCAAGAUCAGUUUCUACAUCAAAGGGAGGAAGGAGACGUUUUUCUUCAAGAACAAGACUACACAAAUCCCAGAUCAAUCCAGACGUGAAUCAAGGAAGAGGACCAACAGGAGGAACAAGAACAAGCAAGUGUGGACCGAGUGAGCUAAGAUGGUCACUGCAGUCCAUUGAGGCCAAGAUCACCAACUUAAGUCACCGUUUUUGACCAAGAAGGACGACCUAGGAAUGCCAAGUAUCUAUUGCUCCAUAAAUGGAUACAACUUCUACAAGACGUUUUGCGACACCGGAUCGGGUGUCAACAUAAUGGCUGCAGUCACCUAUCGGCUCUUGUUCGGAACCAUGCCCUUAAAACCAACAUACAUUCAGCUCCAGAUGGUAGAUCAGGUAUUUCGAGAAGUUAAAAGAACAGUAACUGAUGUCCCAGUCAAAAUAGACGAUCAUUUUGUCUACACAGACUUUCAGGUUAUUGACAUGGGAGAACAUGAGUACGAUCCACCCAUCAUCCUUGGAAGACCGUUCCUCAGCACCGUUAAAGCAAUCAUCUACAUUGGAACUGGAGAAGUCCAUAUGCACUUCCCCUCAGAGAAGGUACACCGUUAUUUUAUUGACCCUAACUAUAUUGUUGAAGAAUCUAAGCAGGUAAGAAAACGACGCAACCGCAACCAGAGGAGGCAAAUCAUCAAGGACGGAUGGGCAGACUAUGAAGGAGAAGUUGUAAGGUCAGAAGACAUAGAGUUUAAACAGAAUUAUCCAGAGGAGACCGUAGCACCGAGUCAGGUAUGGAAAGAGAAGAUAAUACAUGAAGAGGAGGCGCUGCCGGAAGUACCGACUCCGCCACCCAACGAAUCCCAGGACAAUUGAGAAAACGGAGAGUCCCAUUCGGAGGACUUAAAAACCCUGAACGCCUUGCCAAGAGGUAAACUUGGUAGUUAUCCUUUCCCUUUCAAUUAUUUAAAAUAGUUUGCUUAGUUAAUCAUGUUCGUAUUAUCUUAAAGAGAAAAUAAAAAUAUGAAAAACAGUAAGCCCCAUGUGAGUAUACGAGUGACAUGAAACCCAUAAGUACAUUCACUGUGGUGGCAUAAAAAUAAAUAUUUCUAUUCUGCUUUAUAAAAUGAAAAUAUAAAAAUAAGGAGUAAUAAUUAUUAAAGAGUCUCAACAUGAUGAAGGCUAGAUAUUUAUGCUAAUACUUAAUCUGUUCCACAAAGCUUUGUUGUGUAUUUGAGCUCCACAGAAUUUAAGAAUCAAGAAGACUAGCAGACGGAGGACAUUCUAAUCGUUGUCAAGAUACUGCCGACUUUCAAAUACACCUCUGCCACCUGCUAGCUACAUCAAAAGAAAUUACGUCAAAAUUCAGCUUGGAGGAGAGCACCCCCAUUUAUCCCGCUAAGUAUUUCUAUCUAUCUAUCUUUAUACUUAUACUAUUUUAGAAUAUAAAUAUACAUAAACCAAGAAAAACCAAAUAAAGAUUUUGUGCUUAUAUAUAUAUCUUUUGCUUAGUGUGUUUCAUAAACAAAUAAAGUGGCUAUGCUCAUCUGUAUAUUAAUAAUAAAACUCUAGCAUGGAUAUGAUGAAUAGUUGCUCUGCCUAAUUUGCAAAUUUGAAGUUCUCUCUCAAGUUCAGAUAUAACUGUUAUAAUUUAAUGCUUGCUCUAGACAUAAACUUGUGGGAUGAAAACUUGAUCUGAAGUCUAAGUUGUUAACGGAUACGAUAUGGGAAGGUUGAGCUGCUGUUUAUCUGUUCCUAGAGAUGCUAGAAUUCUGGAGAAUUUUAUCUUUGAAAAUCUUUAAAAUGUUGCAUGAUGAGUUCCUAUAAGAUGAGAGUUUAAAUUCCUACCACAGCCAUAUAUACAUGCUUGCUAGACUUUGAGCCACACAUUUACUAUUUACUGCUUAUGAGCAUUGAGUGUGGUCAAGCUGUGUAGACCCUUGCACGUUCACUCAUAUAUGCUGCUUCUACUCCGGAAGUACCAUCCACAUAUAUCCACUAAUUUCCAUCUCUAGAACCACCCAAAAAAACUAUUCUACUCCUAAUCCGGGAGAGAAUAGCCAAAAAUAUUUCUAUUUUUCCCUUGUAAAAUGAAUGCUCAAGUUAUCUUGUUACUACCACUUGCUAUAUUAUCUCAAGAGAUGAGUGCUCUUAAAAAAAGAGAAGAAAGAAAAGAUACGAGCAAAUAAAAAGGGGCAAGUGCCCGGAACCUCGAAAGAAAAAGAAAAAGUGAGACGAGAGGUAAAAAUGGACAAGUGUCCGACAGUAGAAUUAGGGGUACAAGAUACCCACCUGAGAGGAAAGAAAAAGAAAAAGAUAGAGCAUCUCAUUCUCCUCAUAAAGUUUCAAAAAGCAAGGAAGCUAUGUAUCCCCUCAAAAGAGCAAAAGUAGGAUUAGACUUUAACCAUUGUUAUCACCAUCAUCACCAUACACCAUUCAUUCGCCACACAUGCACAUCUUGAUUAAAUUUAUUGACUUGUUUCUUUGGAUCCAUGGUUUGACUAUGCAAUACAUGUCUUGUAAGUAUGUAUACUUUAUGUCCCACCUAUGUGCUCCAGAUAUUAAAGCCUUAUUAGAGUAGGGUGAGAGAGAAGACAAUGUCACUAUGCUUCAUACCACAAAUACUACAUACUUUUGAGAGAAGGCAUAUACCAUCACUGCCUUGGUAAGGAUCCAGAAAUAACACAAAAGAGAGAUAUGAGAGAAUCAUACAAGGAAUCUCUAAGUUUUAUUUGAAAAUCUGCAAAAACUACAGAGCUAUAGCUGAUCAAGAAUAAGAGACAUGGCACUUAACUAGACUGUUCUAUCUUUUAACUACUCAAGACAGAAGUAACAGUUACAAGUCCCAUGGUGAAAGGUAAAGUAAGUAAGUUUUAAGUCUUGAUAGUUUACUCUAACUCAGAGAUGAGACCUCAUUUAAAAGCAUGUGUACCGUCAAAUUUUAAAGAUAUUGCAACAACUUCUGAUCCAUUACUGAGUCUAACCUUGCUCAGGGACGAGCAAGAGGUAAGCUUGGGGGAGUUUGUUGACGGUCCUUAAGUAUCAAUUUUAAUUAUCAAAUAAACAAAGAAAAGGAUCCAAAUGAAAUCAACAUCUAGACUUAGGGUUUUAUCUGACAGAAUUCCACGAGUUUUGGUGUUUGUCUAUUUGUGCAAGGGGUUAUCAGGAAAUAAGGAAGAAAGGCCCACACGUCGGGAUUACAUAGAGAUAUUAACGUGCAGCGCAAUUAUCUUACAUCUAGAAGACUCCAGAAGCCAUAGGAAGGAAGCG
rnacentral:lncRNA from 1 species